rnacentral:rRNA from 1 species
AAUCAACGCUGGCGGCGUGCCUAACACAUGCAAGUCGAGCGCGAAAGGGGAGCAAUCCCCAAGUAGAGCGGCGAACGGGUGAGUAACGCGUGGGUAAUCUGCCUCCGAGUGGGGAACAACACCGGGAAACUGGUGCUAAUACCGCAUGACAUCGUUGGACCUUCGGAUCUGACGAUCAAAGCCGGGGACCGCAAGGCCUGGCGCUUGGAGAGGAGCCCGCGUCCGAUUAGCAGUUGGUGGGGUAAGUGGCCCACCAAGGCUACGAUCGGUAGCCGGCCUGAGA